CCUACGGGAGGCAGCAGUGAGGAAUAUUGGUCAAUGGACGAGAGUCUGAACCAGCCAAGUAGCGUGCAGGAUGACUGCCCUAUGGGUUGUAAACUUCUUCUAUAUGGGAAUAACAUGUUCCACGUGUGGGAUUUUGUAUGUACCAUAUGACUAAGGAUCGGCUAACUCCGUGCCAGCAGCCGCGGUAAUACGGAGGAUCCGAGCGUUAUCCGGAUUUAGUGGGUUUAAAGGGAGCGUAGGUGGAUUGUUAAGUCAGUUGUGAAAGUUUGCGGCUCAACCGGAAAAUUGCAGUUGAAACUGGCAGUCUUGAGUACAGUAGAGGUGGGCGGAAUUCGUGGUGUAGCGGUGAAAUGCUUAGAUAUCACGAAGAACUCCGAUUGCGAAGGCAGCUCACUGGACUGCAACUGACACUGAGGCUCGAAAGUGUGGGUAUCAAACAGGAUUAGAUACCCUGGUAGUC
rnacentral:rRNA from 1 species